GGUUGGUAUUGGUUCCCUGAUAUUUGUCCUAAAAUUUUUUUGGAUCUAGCACCACUGUUGAAAAAGUUAUGCCCCUUUUUUCAACAAUUUCCUCAGAGGAAAAGUACUUUUCCUCAAGGGAAAUCAAAUUUCCCUGAAGGAAAAAGAUUUUUCCUCAAGGGAAAUUGUUUUUUCCUCAAGGGAAAAAGAUUUCCCUUAGGGAAUUUGCUGCAUAAUUA
rnacentral:lncRNA from 1 species